AUCGAGAGAGAGAGAGAGAGAGAGAGAGAGCUGGGAGCUCCCUGACCCGAGACGCAGCGCGACCCGACAAGAUGACCCGGCCAUUGCGCCACCGUCCGGCCACCCCACAACGGCGCCCAGGUGCCAUUCCCUUUAUCUCUUCGUAGCCUACGUUCCUGUGUCCUCGGAUCAUACAUGCAACGAUCGUGAACGGAGAAUCAACGGCGAGUUUCUGCAACUUCCGGCCACCGUUUGGGCCGCCUGGGCCACGGCUCCGCUGUGUUCUUCGAGUCCGGCAACGUUUCCAGCGCUUCUAGCUUAGGUGGCAUGUGAAAGAUGAUUCACUAUUCGUACUCUACACGCUGGUGGUGUACCUAGUCUGCGAGUUCGAUCAGGAUUUUGGAGAAGCUGUGUUUGGGGUGCAAUCUGCCUCCAUCGAGGAUUGGGGAAUUAGUUAGCUACACCGGCUUGGGCUUGUUGUGCUCUCCUAAUGAGUGCAGACUUUGAGCUAAGUUGAUCAUAAGGUGAGUUGGAUUUGUUAGAGAAAUUCUGGGAAAUUUCCUUUUAGUUGAUUGCUGGUGUUUGUGUGAUAGUCAUACCCUGUAGUGAAGGAUGGUAAUUUGAGUUGUUUCCGGUCUACCAGCUUGAUGUCUUCAGUCUUGAAUUGGAAAUUUGGACGUGUUGUGGUGCUUUGGUUUGAAUGGAUUGUGAUUAUCAUGUUGAUGUCUUGCUAAGGUUUGCUCGGCAGGUAGUUUGAAAUGGUUGUGGAGUAUUUGAAAUGGUCAAGUUAUAUUGUGGGUGUCCUGAACUGUUUGGGUACAAUUGAAAAUAAAAAUAUGUUGGGUGUCCAUAGUAAUUCGAUGGAAUUACUAUGUGACGAAAUUUGAAAUGGAAGAAAUGAUAUUUCAGUUAAAGAAAGAAGUUAUGUUUAGGUGUCUAUCUCAAAUUGAGAAUUUCAGGAAUUUGUUAUGACUUUCGUUGUUUGCGCAUUUUGUAAAAAUGAUAGUAAGUAAAGAAAAGAAAUGAAUAUAAUGGGUGGCCUUGGAAAAAUUUGGGUGCACCUAAUAUAUAUGGUCGAUAUCGCAAUUUAAGUAAAAUGUUCGGCAAUUUGGGUUAAUUAUCGAACCUAUUACGAUCGGUCAAACAUUGGUCAACUCCUGGUCAAACUAGGAAAAGUUGGUCUGUACGAUUUGCAAUCGUUGAGAUUUCAAUGAUUAGUUCAAUGA